rnacentral:lncRNA from 1 species
UUUGUGGGGAAAAUAGCUUUUCAGAGAGUGGUGGAACAAAAAGAUAAUGUAUUAAUCAUUACAAAGUAGUUCUCCUUAACUUUGUCCAGGUUAACAUCAGAUUUGUCUUUUGAAAGAGCAUCUCUCAACCUAGUGUGUCUGGAAUUGGUGGGUUCUUGGUCUCGCUGACUUCAAGAAUGAAGCCGCGGACUCUCGCAAUUCAUUCAUAGCUGCUACACAUUCAUCUCUAUAUAAAACCUACUCUCCCCUCUGAAAAAGCAGCAUAACCAGUCAACGAACAAGUAUAUAGGAUUAGCACAUUAUGAAGAAUAAAGAGAAGCUUUCAGCUCUCCGUCAUGGAUGAUAUUUAUCACAUUUUCCACGACUGGCUCUAAUAACAGUGCAGAGAUAAAAUAGGCUUGAUGCAUCUUUCCUGUACAGAGAAUUUUACAACAGCAACUGUAAGAAAUUCAGGAGAUGAAACACUUCUCCCCUCUUGCAGUUUUUAUUAGUCUUAAAAAUGGGAGGUGGGUGUGUGGGGGAGACUGUUUCUACAAAAGUGGGCUUGAAUUUUCUGUCUGUUAUGCUAAUGUAUUCAUAGAAAAAGCUGGUGCUGAGGGCGGUUCUCCAAUUAAGACAAAUGAGGCACAUUGAAUUUCUCCCCCAGGGCACAGCAGGGGUGCUGGCAAAAUCUACUUUAUUCUUUUCUGUCAGGACUGAACUGGAAACAAAAGCAUGAAAAUUCAACACAUCCACUUACAGAAUAAUAAAGGCUGUUGUUUAAAGCGUGAAGAGUUUUGGCACCCUUCUGGGGCCUUAUGCAAAUCGCUCUUCCUCUCAACUGCUACCACACCAUCGGUCUUGGAAAUUAAAGAUGUACUUGGUCGGUUAACAGCUGAAAGGAGAAGAGCAGCCUGAAACUCAAUUAGAUUUGUAUUAAGCAAAUAAAUCAGGACUGACUGAUAUUGGCUAAACUAAAAUGCAUUAUGGGCUGACAGUAAUUCUAAUUUGAUGGACAAAUAUAUGUAGUGUGUUAUUAACCUAAAUGAAAGAUGAGAAUCCUUUUUUUUUCUUUUUAAAGGAUUUUGUUCUAGUAAACAAUCCGCUCUCCCUCUGAACUUACACAAAACAAUAAACAGAGACUACUGGUAUGGUUCUGUUUACAAUCCAUGCUCAAGAACACAGGAAAUCUAUUUUCUAUUACGUGGUUAGAGUUUGAGACAAAAUUAUUGUGCUGAAAGACAUUUGUUUUUAUCGAUUUAUUUGGUGUAAUGUAACAUCUCAACACAUUAUUUAUUUGGUACACCAAGCACGCUAUUUUUAUUAUGGUGAGUAACACAAAAGCAUAGACCUGGUAUAUGUCUCAUUAUUUAUUCGGAACCCUGUAGUAUAGGAGGCUUUUCCACACCAGGGCACAUACAAAGGGG